GUGGACAGUACUCGUGCUGCUAAUCACUUCAGUCCAGCAGGUGGCAGUUAGGCUCCGUUAAGCUUCUCCACCACCCACUAAACCACCAGUAAAGAAGAAGAGUAAAUGAGAAGGAGGCCUAAUCCUAGUCCCUGUACACCCUAAACCCUGAGCCCUCAGGGACUUAACUGACACCACCUGGUCUCCGUAGAUUGUAGUUCCGUUUGGACCCUCGUCCUGACUGAUGCCUGGCCCGCGGACACGUUUCCAUGGAUCAUGGUUCUAUCUGAACCCUGUUCCUGCCUCCUGCCAUGACCCUGCUGACACCUGCUGCGGAUAUCAUCAUUAUUAUUUUAAAUAUUAAUCACAUUUACUAUUACUCUCAUC
ensembl:lncRNA